GAUGAACGCUGGCGGCGUGCCUAGUACAUGCAAGUCGAGCGAACGGACGAGAAGCUUGCUUCUCUGAUGUUAGCGGCGGACGGGUGAGUAACACGUGGAUAACCUACCUAUAAGACUGGGAUAACUUCGGGAAACCGGAGCUAAUACCGGAUGAUAUUUUGAACCGCAUGGUUCAAAAGUGAAAGACGGUCUUGCUGUCACUUAUAGAUGGAUCCGCGCUGCAUUAGCUAGUUGGUAAGGUAACGGCUUACCAAGGCAACGAUGCAUAGCCGACCUGAGAGGGUGAUCGGCCACACUGGAACUGAGACACGGUCCAGACUCCUACGGGAGGCAGCAGUAGGGAAUCUUCCUCAAUGGGCGAAAGCCUGACGGAGCAACGCCGCGUGAGUGAUGAAGGUCUUCGGAUCGUAAAACUCUGUUAUUAGGGAAGAACAUAUGUGUAAGUAACUGUGCACAUCUUGACGGUACCUAAUCAGAAAGCCACGGCUAACUACGUG
rnacentral:rRNA from 1 species